rnacentral:piRNA from 1 species
UGUUAAGACAGAGACAUCUGGGGGG